AUAAUUAUUAUCUUACUUUAUUUUAUAUUUAAAAUUUUGAGAAAUAUCUUUGAUUUUUGUAACCUAAAGAUAAAAGAAUUUUUGUUAUAGUAAAUUAGUACUGUGAAGGAAUAGAUUAAAUAAUUAAAAUUUAGUUUUUUAUAAGUAUACUUUAUUUGUAGUACCUUUUGUAUCAGGGUUAAUCAAAUAUAUUAAUUUAUAUUUUUAUCUCGAUUUUAAAAGAGCUAAUUUAAUAUUUUAGUUAAUGUUUCAUAAUUAUUAAAAAUAUAAUUUAGAGGAGAAAUUUUAUUCGGUUUUAAAGGUAUCUGGUUUUUUAAGAAUUAAAUUGAAUUUAGCUUUAAUAUUUAAUUUUUAUAUUUAUUUAUAUAUUAUUUAUUAAGGGUAAAAUUAUAGGGGAUAAGCUCUAUAUUUUCCUAUAAAUUUAAUUUUGACUUAUUUUUGUAGGGUUAAAAUUAUCCAUCAUUAGAGAGUGUGUUAUAAUUUAUAUAUGUAUUUAAUCAAUUUUAUUAUUUUUAGUUUUUUAUUAAAAUAUCAUAAUUAAUUGCAUAUAUUGAGCAAUAAUGAUUAAAUUAGUAUAAAUAUUUGUUUAUUAUUUUAUUUAAGUGAUGAUAAUAUAAGGAACUCGGCAAAUAUAAUUCUCGCCUGUUUAACAGAGACAUGUCCUUUUGAUUUAGUAUUUAAGGUCUGACCUGCCCAGUGAUUAAUUUAACGGCCGCGGUAUACUGACCGUGCAAAGGUAGCAUAAUCAUUAGUCUUUUAAUAGAGGGCUGGAAUGAAAGGUUUAACGAGGAAUUGACUGUCUCAUAUUAUUUAUUUUGAAAUUUAAUGUUUUAGUUCAAAAGCUAAAAUACCGUUGGAAGCCGAGAAAACCCUAUAGAUCUUUAGUAUUUAAGGUCUUGACCUGUCCAGUGAUAAUUGUAUUUUAAUAACAUUAUAUUUUGUUGGUGUGACAGAAAUAUACAUUUAACUUUUUUAUUUACAUAACAUUGAUUUAUGAUUAUUAGAUCCAUUAUUAGUGAUUAUUAGAUUAAGUUACCUUAGGGAUAACAGCGUAAUCCUCCUCCAGAGUUCAUAUUUACAGGAUGGGCUUGCGACCUCGAUGUUGGAUUAAGAUAAUAAUUAGGUGUAGCCGCUUAAUUUAUAGGUCUGUUCGACCUUUAAACUCUUAUA
rnacentral:rRNA from 1 species